GACGAACGCUGGCGGCGUGCUUAACACAUGCAAGUCGAACGGAAAGGCCCUGCUUUUGUGGGGUGCUCGAGUGGCGAACGGGUGAGUAACACGUGAGUAACCUGCCCUUGACUUUGGGAUAACUUCAGGAAACUGGGGCUAAUACCGGAUAGGAGCUCCUGCUGCAUGGUGGGGGUUGGAAAGUUUCGGCGGUUGGGGAUGGACUCGCGGCUUAUCAGCUUGUUGGUGGGGUAGUGGCUUACCAAGGCUUUGACGGGUAGCCGGCCUGAGAGGGUGACCGGCCACAUUGGGACUGAGGUACGGCCCAGACUCCUACGGGAGGCAGCAGUGGGGAAUAUUGCAAAAUGGGCGGAAGCCUGAUGCAGCAACGCCGCGUGCGGGAUGACGGCUUUCGGGUUGUAAACCGCUUUCGCCUGUGACGAAGCGUGAGUGACGGUAAUGGGUAAAGAAGCACCGGCUAACUACGUG
rnacentral:rRNA from 1 species